UUAAAUGCUGCUAGAUCUUUAAAACCCAUACCUCUAUUGUUCUUAUGCAUCGAUAAUUUUUCCCAUGACAAGCAAUGCAAGCCUCUUUUUCUUGUUCCCCCAUUUCCUCACUAGAACACAUUCAUCCAUCUUCUCAAUCUAAUCUAAGAGAGUGUUAGGUAAUCUUAAGAUGGUCAUCACAUACGAAGGGAUUGACUGCAGAACAACUUUAAUCAUUACUUCCCUUUCUGCUUUUGACAGACAUUUACUACUCCAGCUGUUUAUUUUCUACCACAGCUUGUCUUUGAUAAAGCUGAAUAUUGCCUUCUUACUUCUCCCUAUCAUCGGUGGUAAACCAAGGUAUUUUCCGGUUCCAAGUAGAUCACAUGCUCCUAAGAUGUUGGUAAUUGAUUGAUGCAACGAAUCUUGGAUAUUCCUACUAUAGAAUAUUUCGGACUUAGUAAGGUUGAUGGCUUGAUCCGAUGCUUCCUCAUAAAUUGUUAAAAUUUUCUUCAUCACAUGAGCUUAACUUUCUUCUACUUGAAACAAUAGGAAACAUUCAUCAGCAAACAAUAAGUCAGACACCACCGGGGCAUUACGAUAAAUACGCACACCAUGUAGUUCCCCUUGGUUUUUAGCAAUUAUGAUCAAUGCUGAUAAGCCUUCAUCACAUAGAAUGAUAUAUGUAAGGUGACGGAGGAUCUACUUUCCUCAUACCAUGCCCUAGAAUAAUAGGACCCACCAUAUCUUAGUUUACUUUGACUGAGUAAUCAGAUGAUUCCACACACAUAAUGAUCCAACCAAUCCACUUGUCAGAGAACCCAAUUUUGCACAUCACAUCU
rnacentral:lncRNA from 1 species